AACAGUUGGAAAUGGCUGCUAAUACCCCGUAUGCCGAAAGGUAAAAGGGAGCAAUCCGCCUGAUGAGGUGCUCAUGUCCUAUCAGCUGGUUGGUGGGGUAACGGCCUACCAAGGCGACGACGGGUAGCCGGCCUGAGAGGGUGAACGGCCACACUGGAACUGAGAUACGGUCCAGACUCCUACGGGAGGCAGCAGUGGGGAAUAUUGGGCAAUGGGGGAAACCCUGACCCAGCGACGCCGCGUGAGGGAAGACGGCCUUCGGGUUGUAAACCUCUUUUGUACGGGAAGAAGGAAGUGACGGUACUGUACGAAUAAGUCCCGGCUAACUACGUGCCAGCAGCCGCGGUAAUACGUAGGGGACGAGCGUUGUCCGGAAUUACUGGGCGUAAAGGGCGCGCAGGCUGUGCUGCAAGUCAGCUGUGAAAUGUCUGGGCUUAACCCGGGCAUGCGGUUGAGACUGCAGUGCUGGAGUGCUGUAGAGGCAAGUGGAAUUCCCAGUGUAGCGGUGAAGUGCGUAGAUAUUGGGAAGAACACCGGUGGCGAAGGCGACUUGCUGGGCAGCAACUGACGCUGAGGCGCGAAAGCCAGGGGAGCAAACGGGAUUAGAUACCCCGGUAGUCCUGGCCGUAAACGAUG
rnacentral:rRNA from 1 species